GUCUACAAUCUUACGAUUUAAAUUUGGUUAAUAAUUUAUUUUUUCGAUUUUACUUAAAAUUUCGAUUUUCUAAGGGUUUCGUUUCUCCCACCCUCCCCGAAAUAGAAGCUAGAUUUCAGAGUCACACAGUAAUAUGUUAGUAUAAAUAAUUAUUUCUUCUCUUUUCAAUAUAUCCAGUCCUCCAAAUCCCUAAUCUUCUUCUCCAACUGCUGCUAUGUCUUCUCUCUCCACCGUCGCUGUAGCUAUGUGAUGACUCUCCAGCGAGGCUGCAACCUGUGACCUCAUCGCCGAUCUGCUCCCCUCCGGUAUUAUGCGCCUCUCUCCGCCGCUGUUGUGCUCUCUGCUCAUCCAGUCUCGGUCGCUUCCUCUGUACUCUCUCUCGCCGCGUGUCAGAUCUCUUCACCGAUCUCCUCUUUUCUAGUUUUGAACUUUUCAUUCUUGCUUGGUGAUCAAUGUUUGGUUGUUGAGGAAGCUUAGAAAAAUAGAAAUAUGGAAUGUUUGCAUUUGCUGUGAUGUGUCUUCUUUGCAUUUGUAAAAUAUAAGUGACUAAUUGACAUUUUGGCAGUUCACACUGCAAUUGCUGUCCUAUGCCGUUGUGCCAGGGAUAUUGCCUAAUGCAGUCCACAAUUGGAAGCAUUCUAUGUGAAGUCUUCUGUACUUUGGAAUUAUUGCAUUGUGUACUUUUGGUGAACAGAAUAAGGAGAAUAUCUCGUCUCUGUUUGCUGCAUUGGAAAGGGUAGUGAGCUGGUCAUUCAUGCCUCUCCCCUCCAAACUUCCUCGUCCGUUCAUCCUCGUUAGGACUUUUGUGAAUGCAAAGGUCAACUGGGUUCGGGACUCAUCUCUUGAUAAUGCAAUCCUUAAAGAGAAAGAUUUUAAACAUGUUGUUUCCUUCAAGAAUGAAAUAGUUUCAUCUACUUCCAAAUCCCUCUCCUUAUACAAUGCUUCUCUGUUGAAAGAACCAACCGCUCAACCUUUCCACGACAACCACCGAAUUUAUAGACAAGUAUCAUUGUAUUUUCAUGCAAUUCCAACAAGAUCGUGGCUUCCCUCCACAUAUUAAGCUCACACCUCAUGCUUUAUGCCUACACAAAGAAGAAAUAGAUAUCCACAAUUGCCCCAUUAACCGUGUAGACAUUGUUCAUAGGAUUGCAAGGCUUCUGAUGCUUGCUGGUAUGAAAAAAUUGCCACUUUAUGUAAUUGAGAAGCUAAAAUGGGAUUUGGGUCUUCCUCAUAAUUAUGUGAAGACAUUAUUUUGAUAUUUAUAGCAUCGAAGAUCCAUUAUC